rnacentral:rRNA from 1 species
UGGCGGCAUGACUAAUACUAGCAAGUCGAGCGAAUGACGAAGAAGCUUGCUUCUUCUGAUUUAGCGGCGGACGGGUGAGUAACACGUGGGCAACCUGCCCUGUAGAUUGGGAUAACUCCGGGAAACCGGGGCUAAUACCGAAUAAUCCAUUUCCUCACAUGGGGAGAUGUUAAAAGACGGCAUCUGCUGUCACUACAGGAUGGGCCCGCGGCGCAUUAGCUAGUUGGUGAGGUAACGGCUCACCAAGGCGACGAUGCGUAGCCGACCUGAGAGGGUGAUCGGCCACACUGGGACUGAGACACGGCCCAGACUCCUACGGGAGGCAGCAGUAGGGAAUCUUCCACAAUGGACGAAAGUCUGAUGGAGCAAUGCCGCGUGAGUGAAGAAGGUUUUCGGAUCGUAAAACUCUGUUGUGAGGGAAGAACAAGUACGAGAGUAACUGCUCGUACCUUGACGGUACCUCAUUAGAAAGCCACGGCUAACUACGUGCCAGCAGCCGCGGUAAUACGUAGGUGGCAAGCGUUGUCCGGAAUUAUUGGGCGUAAAGCGCGCGCAGGCGGUCCUUUAAGUCUGAUGUGAAAUCCCACGGCUCAACCGUGGAAGGUCAUUGGAAACUGGGGGACUUGAGUACCGAAGAGGAAAGCGGAAUUCCAAGUGUAGCGGUGAAAUGCGUAGAGAUUUGGAGGAACACCAGUGGCGAAGGCGGCUUUCUGGUCUGUAACUGACGCUGAGGCGCGAAAGCCUUGGGAGCAAACAGGAUUAGAUACCCUGGUAGUCCACGCCGUAAACGAUGAGUGCUAAGUGUUAGGGGGUUUCCGCCCCUUAGUGCUGCAGCUAACGCAUUAAGCACUCCGCCUGGGGAGUCCGUCGCAGACUGAACUCAAGGAUUGACGGGGCCGCACAGCGGUGGAGCAUGUGGUUAUUCGAGCACGCGAGAACUUACCAGGUCUUGACAUCCCGCUGACCGCCUAAAGAUAGCUUUUCCUUCGGGACAGCGGUGACAGUGUGCAUGGUGUCGUCAGCUCGUGUCGUGAGAG